UGAGGGUUGAUAGGUUAAGAGCUGAUUGACUGGACGUUACCCACAGAAGAAGCACCGGCUAACUCCGCGCCAGCAGCCGCGGUAAUACGGAGGGUGCGAGCGUUAAUCGGAAUUACUGGGCGUAAAGAGUGCGUAGGUGGUUAAUUAAGUUAUGUGUAAAAUCCCUGGGCUCAACCUGGGCAGGUCAUAUAAUACUGAUUAACUCGAGUAUGGGAGAGGGUAGUGGAAUUUCCGGUGUAGCGGUGAAAUGCGUAGAGAUCGGAAGGAACACCAGUGGCGAAGGCGGCUACCUGGCCUAAUACUGACACUGAGGCACGAAAGCGUGGGGAGCAAACAGGAUUAGAUACCCUGGUAGUCCACGCCGUAAACGAUGUCAACUAGCUGUUGGUUAUAUAAAAAUAAUUAGUGGCGCAGCAAACGCGAUAAGUUGACC
rnacentral:rRNA from 1 species